GAUUGAACGCUGGCGGCAUGCCUUACACAUGCAAGUCGAACGGCAGCACGAGUGCUUGCACCUGGUGGCGAGUGGCGAACGGGUGAGUAAUACAUCGGAACAUGUCCUGUAGUGGGGGAUAGCCCGGCGAAAGCCGGAUUAAUACCGCAUACGAUCUACGGAUGAAAGCGGGGGACCUUCGGGCCUCGCGCUAUAGGGUUGGCCGAUGGCUGAUUAGCUAGUUGGUGGGGUAAAGGCCUACCAAGGCGACGAUCAGUAGCUGGUCUGAGAGGACGACCAGCCACACUGGGACUGAGACACGGCCCAGACUCCUACGGGAGGCAGCAGUGGGGAAUUUUGGACAAUGGGCGAAAGCCUGAUCCAGCAAUGCCGCGUGUGUGAAGAAGGCCUUCGGGUUGUAAAGCACUUUUGUCCGGAAAGAAAUCCUUGGCCCUAAUACGGUCGGGGGAUGACGGUACCGGAAGAAUAAGCACCGGCUAACUACGUG
rnacentral:rRNA from 1 species